rnacentral:rRNA from 1 species
UUGACGAGGAACCACGGUUCCGAAGUGAUUGAUACCAAGCUUCCAGGAAAAGCCACUAAGCUUCAGUCUAGAGUUGACCGUACCGCAAACCGACACAGGUGGGCAGGAUGAAAAUUCUAAGGCGCUUGAGAGAACUCAGGAGAAGGAACUCGGCAAAUUAACACCGUAACUUCGCGAGAAGGUGUGCCCCGGUAGCGUGUAGAGACUUGCUCUCGAAGCGCGAUGGGGUUGCAGUGAAAUGGUGGCUGCGACUGUUUAAUAAAAACACAGCACUCUGCAAACACGAAAGUGGACGUAUAGGGUGUGACGCCUGCCCGGUGCCGGAAGGUUAAGUGAUGGGGUGCAAGCUCUUGAUCGAAGCCCCGGUAAACGGCGGCCGUAACAAUAACGGUCCUAAGGUAGCGAAAUUCCUUGUCGGGUAAGUUCCGACCUGCAUGAAUGGCGUAACGAUGGCCACACUGUCUCCUCCUGGGACUCAGCGAAGUUGAAAUGUUUGUGAAGAUGCAAUCUACCCGCGGCUAGACGGAAAGACCCCAUGAACCUUUACUGUAGCUUUGCAUUGGACUUUGAACCGGUUUGUGUAGGAUAGGUGGGAGACUGUGAAGCCGGGACGCUAGUUUCGGUGGAGUCAACCUUGAAAUACCACCCUGAUUUGUUUGAGGUUCUAACCUUGGUCCGUGAAUCCGGAUCGGGGACCGUGCAUGGUAGGCAGUUUGACUGGGGCGGUCUCCUCCCAAAAGGUAACGGAGGAGUACGAAGGUACGCUUAGGGCGGUCGGACAUCGCCCACAAAGUGCAAUGGCAAAAGCGUGCUUGACUGCGAGACCCACAAGUCGAGCAGGUACGAAAGUAGGUCAUAGUGAUCCGGUGGUUCUGUAUGGAAGGGCCAUCGCUCAACGGAUAAAAGGUACUCUGGGGAUAACAGGCUAAUUCCUCCCAAGAGUUCAUAUCGACGGGGGAGUUUGGCACCUCGAUGUCGGCUCAUCACAUCCUGGGGCUGUAGUCGGUCCCAAGGGUAUGGCUGUUCGCCAUUUAAAGUGGUACGCGAGCUGGGUUUAAAACGUCGUGAGACAGUUUGGUCCCUAUCUGCCGUGGGCGCUGGAAAUUUGAAGGGGGCUGCUCCUAGUACGAGAGGACCGGAGUGGACGAACCUCUGGUGUACCGGUUAUGACGCCAGUCGUAUCGCCGGGUAGCUAAGUUCGGAAGAGAUAAACGCUGAAAGCAUCUAAGCGUGAAACUCGCCUUAAGAUAAGAUUUCCCGGAGUCUUGAACUCCCUGAAGGGUCGUCGAAGACCACGACGUUGGUAGGUCAGGUGUGGAAGCGCAGCAAUGCGUUAAGCUAACUGAUACUAAUUGCCCGUGCGGCUUGAUCCC